UCAAAUCAUGCAUAAACUUGUUCUAAAACAUGCAUAAACACCAUAUAUCACACCUAGGGGUCUCAAACUAUCAAAUACCCCAACUACAACACUUCAAACACACAAAAUCAACAUACAUUGUUCAUCAAAACAUCAAAACCCAUAAACUCAUCAUAUAACCUAAACAUGCAUCUCUACUCAUAAAACGACUUAAAACUUACUUAAAACAUAUAAGGAGCUUAAGAUCGGCUCUUACCUCUUGAAGAUCGAGAGGGAGACGACCUAAACUUGGAGAUCCACGAAAAUGAGCUCCUGAGUUCCCAAAGCUCCAAAACUUGUUUUAAA
rnacentral:lncRNA from 1 species